rnacentral:misc_RNA from 1 species
UGUGGGAGCGGGCUUGCUCGCGAAUGCGGUGGCUCAGUUAAGUAAUUAUUGACUGACACACCGCUUUCGCGAGCAAGCCCGCUCCCACA